UACGUAGGGGGGCAAGCGUUGUCCGGAAUUAUUGGGCGUAAAGAGCUCGUAGGCGGCUUGUCACGUCGGUUGUGAAAGCCCGGGGCUUAACCCCGGGUCUGCAGUCGAUACGGGCAGGCUAGAGUGUGGUAGGGGAGAUCGAAUUCCUGGUGUAGCGGUGAAAUGCGCAGAUAUCAGGAGGAACACCGGUGGCGAAGGCGGAUCUCUGGGCCAUUACUGACGCUGAGGAGCGAAAAGCGUGGGGAGCGAACAGG
rnacentral:rRNA from 1 species